AUUGAACGCUGGCGGAAUGCUUUACACAUGCAAGUCGAACGGCAGCACGGACUUCGGUCUGGUGGCGAGUGGCGAACGGGUGAGUAAUGUAUCGGAACGUGCCCAGUCGUGGGGGAUAACGUAGUGAAAAUUACGCUAAUACCGCAUACGAUCUAUGGAUGAAAGCGGGGGAUCGCAAGCCCUCGCGCCAUUGGAGCGGCCGAUAUCAGAUUAGGUAGUUGGUGGGGUAAAGGCCCACCAAGCCAACGAUCUGUAGCUGGUCUGAGAGGACGACCAGCCACACUGGAACUGAGACACGGUCCAGACUCCUACGGGAGGCAGCAGUGGGGAAUUUUGGACAAUGGGCGAAAGCCUGAUCCAGCCAUUCCGCGUGCAGGAUGAAGGCCCUCGGGUUGUAAACUGCUUUUGUACAGAACGAAAAGGUUUCUACUAAUACUAGGAGCUCAUGACGGUACUGUAAGAAUAAGCACCGGCUAACUACGUGCCAGCAGCCGCGGUAA
rnacentral:rRNA from 1 species